CUGCCGGACCUGACUGCUAUCGGGAUGAGGCUAAGCCAUGGAAGUCGACGUGCGCCCUUGCGCACGUGGCGUACGGCUCAGUAACGCGUGGCUAACCUGCCCUCGUGACGGGGAUAACCUCGGGAAACUGAGGAUAAUCCCCGAUAGGCGAGCGGCUUUGGAAGAACCGCUCACCGAAAGGGACGGAGGGAAUGGCCUUCGUCCGCGCGAGGAUGGGGCUGCGUCCCAUCAGGCAGUUGGUGGGGUAAUGGCCCACCAAACCUAUAACGGGUACGGGCCGUGAGAGCGGGAGCCCGGAGAUGGGCACUGAGACAAGGGCCCAGGCUCUACGGAGCGCACCAAGCGCGAAACCUUCGCAAUGCGGGAAACCGUGACGGGGCCAUCCCGAGUGCAGGCUGCUGAGGUCUGCUUUUGCCCAGUGUAAGAAGCUGGGCGAAUAAGUGGGGGGCAAGACUGGUGUCAGCCGCCGCGGUAAUACCAGCUCCACGAGUGGUCAGGACGGUUAUUGGGCCUAAAGCGUCCGUAGCCGGCCCGGUAAGUUUAUGGUGAAAUCCGGCAUCUCAAGUGUCGGAGCGCUGUAAAUACUGCCGGGCUAGGGAGCGGGAGAGGCCGAGGGUACCUCCGGGGUAGGGGCGAAAUCCUAUAAUCCCGGAGUGACGACCAGUGGCGAAAGCGCUCGGCUAGAACGCGUCCGACGGUGAGGGACGAAAGC
rnacentral:rRNA from 1 species